GGAAGUGUCAGGAAGCGCUCAGGCUUUAGUGAGCCUGGAGGGAGGGGAAGGCUGAGGUCUCCUCUGCCUCCGCAGCCACAUGGCCUGGCACGGGGCAGGCAGGCAGUAGAUUAAGCAGGCUUUAUUCUCGUGCUGGAAACAUUUCCUGGAAGCUUGGAUGGUAUAUGAACAACUGCAGAGAGAAACUCCAUCCUCGUUGGGACUGAGGACCUUCGUGCCCGCAGCAUCUGGUCUCCUCAGAGUGCUGGAACACAGCUGCCUGCCCAGGACCCUUGGGCCAGCAGCACCCUGCCUGCCUCUGCCUGCCAAGGAGGGGCCACGGCCUGGGUGGAUAAGGAAGGGAGUGGGACCCUGGCUUGCCCCAAUUCCACUCCUGCCAAUGGCUACUCUCCUUGUAGAGGAAACCGACUCUAGGACCAGAGCCUAAUUUGAGAGCCAGCUCAGAGGAGGAGGAAGACACGUGAAUGAUUCCGGCACCAUCCAAGCUGACGCUGUGGCUCUAGCUGGGAGAAGAAAAAAACUACCGUUUCCUGAUGAGCAAACACCAGUCCCCAGCUCCCUGCUAAAUUCCACUUCUAACAAGUAGUGGGGGCUGUUUAGUUGGUGUCCUUAGUACAUAUUAACAAUAAAUAAAGCUUCAAUAAAUAU